ensembl:lncRNA
GUGUGUGCAUGCGUGCGUGUGUGUGUGUGCCUGCGUGCGUGUGCGUAAAUAUCAGUAAAAAUGACCUCUCUACCCCCCCAUAACGGAGGGGCGGAGGUGGAUGAGAGAGAGGAGGGGGAGGAGAGAGACAUAACACCAGGCAGUAGGGGGGGGUGAGAGAGGAGGGGGAGGAGAGAGACGUAACACCAGGCGGUAGGUGGAUGAGAGAGGAGGGGGAGGAGAGAGAAGACGGGGAGGAGAGAGACAUAACACCAGGCAGUAGGGGGUGAGAGAGAGGAGGGGGAGGAGAGAGACGAGGGGGAGGAGAGAGAGGAGGGGGAGGAGAGAGACAUAAGACCAGGCAGUAGGGAGGUGAGAGAGAGGAGGGAGAGGAGAGAGACAUAGGACCAGGCAGUAGGGAGGUGAGAGAGAGGAGGGAGAGGAGAGAGACAUAAGACCAGGCAGUAGGGAGGUGAGAGAGAGGAGGGGGAGGAGAGAGACAUAACACCAGGCAGUAGGGGG